UCAGACCAGAGUACUACUGGGAAAAUUGUCGUCACCCUUUGGAGGACACUACGCUUCAGAUGUGAGAGACCAAUCUCUUGAGGCAGUCUAUCUAGUCAAUUAUCAUUAGGUAGCAUAGUCAGUAAAGGGUAAAUGGGGUCAAUAAACUCAUUUCCCUUUUUAUCUUUUUGUUUUCUCCAAUGUAACCCGGACAUUUUUUUGAAGCAGUUAAGUUUCUCGUUAAUAAAAAUGGACAUUGCCCUGGAAAUACAAUGGAGUUCAGUAAAAAAAUAAAAACUUGGUUAUAAGCACUAGACUCAUCUUGACACUUUUCAGUCAGUCAUAUUGCCUAAUAAGGAUUAGGUUGUCUGCCUCAGGAGGUUGGUCUCCCAUAUUUGUAUCGUGCUAGUCUCCCAUAUUUGUAUUUGUCUUGAAGCAUUUAGGCAUGAAGGAGAUGCUCAUGUCAUUGGUGACCUGUUUCAGAAUUGUUUCUGGUGACCUGAGUGUUUGUUGUUUCCAUUUGCGCUUUCUUUCUUCCCAGAUGUGCAAACAUAAAGAUCCGAUCAUGUUCCAUAGUAGACCCCAAAUUGGAGAGUGAUGUGUUAGUUUCUGAUAGGCCUCAGUGAGGUCCCCUAACAUGAUGUCUGGAUGGUUUGUGGUGGGUGUGGCUAUGUUGAGUAUUUUCCAGAAAAUAUUAUUUAGGCUUUCAACUAUGGGUAAAAGAAUGGCUCUAGUAUAACUGUGUAAGUGCAAUUGAAGAAUAGGUGAGCUCUAAUUUCAUCUUAUAUGUUGCAUAACAGACAUGUGGGCUGGAUGGGCAUGCCCCACCCAUUCAGUAGAAUAGAGACAUUUAGGUGACUCAAUUUUAUUUUCCAUAGAAAAAUUGAAAAUUAUGUCGGUUUGUGAGCCCAUAAUUCCAUAUUCCGUCAACUAAGUUAUCCUUCUGCUUUCGUCUCUAAUUUCCUCACACAUUGAUGUAAGUUUCUUAUUUGGGCUUCCAUUUCUCCAGAAGGUUGUGUGGUUUGGGCCACAUUCAUGAUUCAACCAAUGCACUGGCUUUAGUCCUAUUCCCCAUCACAUAUUUUCAGAAAUGAGGUCUAUGGAGUUUUUUAUUUGUAUAUCAAUAAGGGUUUUUCAUUUUACAUAUAUCUCUUGUAUCCAGCCAGAUAGAAUCAUAGAAUGGACUCAAUGAAGUCAAAUUUC
rnacentral:lncRNA from 1 species